CCCUUCAUUUUCCCAAGGGAGUCAAGUGAGGAGCUUAACCCACAGACCGUGAUCCAGAACAUUACCUGGCCACAACCUAACUUUGACAGCGACGAGGAUGAGGACGACACUGUUCCAUUGGAGAAAAUCAGUCUUGUCACUGGAUUUUUGAGAAAAUUCAUAGAGGAAAUGGUCUUUAUUUCCUUAUUUUUCAUUCUCCUCUUAAUUCACACAAUUGUUUCCUCAUAACAAUCCCAGUUGCUACAAUAAUAAAGUGGUUCUUCAUAUUUACCACGUUUUAUGUACAUUUGUGUUUCAUUUUAUCUCCGUGUGAGCUAGUUUACUGUUUUAUUGUCAAAUGGUCAUGUUUCUGUCCCUCCUCCUUUGUCUGCUGUGUGCUUUACAACAGCACAGGGAUAGAAGAUGUGAAUGUUUGACAGAAACAGUAAAGCCCAGCUCACACUGAGAUGAAAAGAAACAAAUGCACAUAAAAUUGGUAAAUUAAACGUCAUACUUUGUUUACAUUCCACAGUAUUUACAGCAGCAUUUAAAGUAAUCCUUAUGAUGUUCUAAACUAGGAGAGGAAGAGACUACAAGGAUUUUACUUUUGUAAAGUAAGUUCAGCACUGAUAUUUGGAAGUGUACAAUUUUCUCUUCCAUAGCGCCACCAGAUGUGCUGCGUCACCUGAUGAAGUUUUGGGUGGGGUGGGAACUGCCAACAACAAAACUCAAUGUUGAGGUUCUAACCUCAACUUAUCCAGUGGCUCUCACCUGCUUCUUCAAGUUGAAGCUCCCCAGCCACUACCAGACCUACAAGAUUUUUCACCAGGACUUGAUGAUGGCCCUCAGUUCCAUAAGUUCUGGCUUUGGACUUGUGUAGGUAUAAAUGUCAUCAACUUCUUGCACUCAGUCACUCUUUUGAAAUGGAGUCACUUAAAAGGGCAAUUCCUGCUAAUUUAUGCACCAUUAACGUUAUAAAGUUUGACUAUUCUACUUCUCAGGCACCACCUUCACCUGUCAAAUACUUUUGAGUUGGUUUGGUGAUUGGCUUUAGCCUGUGUUUUUUUUUUCUAAAGUUCUUUUUAGUGAUUUUCAUGUUCUUAAUCUAGGUGCUAGUGUUCUUUUGUGAUGUCCUCUGCAGUGCAAUGAGCUUGGAUCAUAUAAAGAUCAUCUCUUUGAGAGCUGUGGCAGCUUUUUGGCCUCUCUAGUUCAUUAAGCUCAGACUUCCAUAUACAUUUAGUUGUAAUUAUUGAACAGUUUAUACAGCUAGUACAUGUUUAAUACAUUCAGAUGUUGAGGUAGAUACCAGUUUCUCCAAUAUUACUGUUGCCCUUUUACAGUAAUGUUCUAAAUGACCGUGUGUACACCUAACACUGUUGGUUUUGUAAAGCAAAUUUGUCUAAAUUUGUUAUCCCUUUACAGUGAUGUGUUGUAAAUACAACUGUACUGCUACAUUUGAUAAAUUUACACAAGAAUUUUAUGUUCCCUUGAACAACAUUAAAGGUGUUAAACAAG